GAUGAACGCUGGCGGCGUGCCUAAUACAUGCAAGUCGAGCGAACAGAUGAGGAGCUUGCUCCUCUGACGUUAGCGGCGGACGGGUGAGUAACACGUGGAUAACCUACCUAUAAGACUGGGAUAACUUCGGGAAACCGGAGCUAAUACCGGAUAAUAUAUUGAACCGCAUGGUUCAAUAGUUAAAGACGGUUUUGCUGUCACUUAUAGAUGGAUCCGCGCCGCAUUAGCUAGUUGGUAAGGUAACGGCUUACCAACGCAACGAUGGUUAGCCGACCUGAGAGGGUGAUCGGCCACACUGGAACUGAGACACGGUCCAGACUCCUACGGGAGGCAGCAGUAGGGAAUCUUCCGCAAUGGGCGAAAGCUUGACGGAGCAACGCCGCGUGAGUGAUGAAGGUCUUCGGAUCGUAAAACUCUGUUAUUAGGGAAGAACAAAUGUGUAAGUAACUAUGCACGUCUUGACGGUACCUAAUCAGAAAGCAACGGCUAACUACGUG
rnacentral:rRNA from 1 species